AGGUUCUUCUGUAAUAUGUUUUCAUGGUGUGGGAAUUAAAGACUUGGUGGUCUAAUACAGCUAAUACAAAGGUUAGCAUCACAGCUUGUCUGUAAGGAUUGAAGCUGGGAGUGGGCAUUGGAGCAGACUUUUAUGAUAACUGUGGCUGCAUAAGAUGGUAGUGUUAUAUAACUGCAACAGUAAAAAAUGUAAUUCAGACUAUUUUUGUGUAUGCUCGAAAAAAUGUUAUAAUUUUUUUACAAAAAAAAAAAAUAUUGUAAAGAUUCUCCAUUUUCAACAAGAUUGGAAGUUGAAGGUUUAUUUAUGAAUUUGGCAUUACAAAAAUUCUUUCUAUUUUCCAUUUAUACUCUUGUCUAGUCAAAACACUUCCAGUAGUUUAAGAAUGGAGAAUCUAAAAAAGAAAGAAAGAAAAAAAAUGUUCAAUUAUUGAAAUGUAUUUUUUUUUGCAAAUUGUAAUGUUUAUAGUUUUGUCAUAUUUUUGUUAUUUUAGGAUUUAAGAUACUUUCAAAUUUUAUAAGUUACUUUGUACAUGUAGUUGAUGCAAUCAAAUCUGCCGAUGUAAAUAUUCUCACUAAAUUUCAUAGCAAAUUUAUUUACUUAUUUGGGUUUUUUUUGGCAAAAAGUUUCAAAAUACCUUUACCAUAGCAAAUGCCUCUCUAGUGUACACAUAGAUGUCAAAAUUUUACAGGAACCUGUGUGAUAUCCAGUAAUGGCGGACAAAUAGGGAUAAGGUGUAUGAUCUGCACUUCAUGUAUCCCCGUACAACCUUUUUUUUCAUGUUAAUUUUAAUAUCUUUAAGAUAGGUGACAAGGGUGCGCUAAUGCAGAGGAAUUUAUGAAGUUAAUAAGUUAGAAAUAUAUUUUUUGCAUUUUUUUGUCAUUUUAGCUGAUUUUGGUUUGUAACCAAGGUGUUAUUUUGAACGAAUAAUUUUACAAAAGGUAUUAUUUGAAGAACAUCUUGAUGAAAUUGGAUUGGUUGUUUUUUUGGUGAUAAACACCUUUUUAACAUAAUUUUAUGUAUUAUUUUGGCUGUAAAUUUUUAUUUGUGGAGACAGCCAGAGUACACGUUGUAGAUGGAUGAGCAAACAGAUGAUAUAUACUUGCUUACUAUCAGUGGGGGAUCCAGAAAUUUUCAUAAGGGGGGGGGGCUCACUGACUGACCUAAUGACCUAAGGGGGCCACUCUAGUCAUGCUUCAGGUGACCUAUAAUUGUUAAUGUCUGUGUCAUUUUGGUCUCUUGUGGACAGUUGUAUCAUUGGCAAUUAUACCACAACUUCUUUUUUAUAUUGUUAAAUAACUAUACUACUUUGAUAUAAAGAAUUGACUUUGAUUAUAAAUUGGGAGGAAUUAUAAAGAAACUUUAUAUAAUAUAAGAGCUUCGGGUGGUUAAUGUUGAAUAAAAUGCAGUUAACUAUUUCCUUGGUGAUCUAAUAAUUUUUUCACAGUUCACUAUACUAAUUUAUUGUCGCCUGCAAAUUUUGUUGCAGAAAGCUCGUCAUAGGGAUAGUGAUCCGGCGGCGGCGGUGUUAGCUCACUUCUUAAAAGCUUUAUAUUUUAGUAGGUAGAAGACCUGGAUGCUUCAUACUGUGUAUAUAGAUGCCUCAUGUUAAGAACUUUCCGUCAGUCACAUGUCCAAUGUCCUUGACCUCAUUUUCAUGGUUCAGUGACUACUUGAAAAAAAAGUUAAGAUUUUUUGUAAUGUUAAAUUCUCUCUUAUUAUAUGUAAUUGGAUAACUAUAUUUGGUAUGUGCGUACCUUGCAAGGUCCUUAUGCCUGUCAGACAAUUUCCACUUGACCUCGACCUCAUUUCAUGGAUCAGUGAACAAGGUUAAGUUUUCGUGGUCAAGUCCAUAUUUCAGAUACUAUAAGCAAUAGGUCUAGUAUAUUCGGUGUAUGGAAGGACAGUAAGGUGUACAUGUCCAACUGGCAGGUGUCAUCUGACCUUGACCUCAUUUUCAUGGUUCAGUGGUUAUAGUUAAGUUUUUGUGUUUUGGUAUGUUUUUCUUAUACUAUAUGCAAUAGGUCUACUAUAAUUGGUGUAUGGAAUGAUUGUAAGGUGUACAUGUCUAGCUGACAGGUGUCAUCUGACCUUGACCUCAUUUUCAUGGUUCAGUGGUCAAAGUUAAGUUUUUUAGUUUUGGUCUAUUUUUCUAAUACUUUAUGCAUAAGGUCAUUUCUUUUUCUAAAUUUUAAUAAAUAACCUUCUUAUUUCUAAUUUUGAAAUAAUGACCCCCUUUUUUUUUGUGUGCUGGUGGUGUUGCCACAGGUUUGUGUAUGCGUCUAGUGUGGUUGGGAGUCAAAGACUCUUACACUGCCGCUGGAUAGCUUAUAUUCAUAGGUGAAAAGAAAGCUGAGUGCGUAAGUCUUUCCUUCCAGUACAUAGCCUCUACACAAACAAGACUUCUACAGUGCCUCCCCGUGACAGCACAUGGUAACUAGGAUCUAGUGUCCUAGGCUUGACUGUAGAGGAUCUCGGAGUAGCAAGGACCCUAGAGAUGAAGUGUGUAGGCCGAUCGACAUGUGGAAAUCACUAGCACUCAUCAACCUUGCCCCAGUUAUGGGUUAAAUAGCUGACUGAAUGAUGGUCGUCAGCCGUGAAAGAAGGAGAAGAAAACUCUUGAUAUAAAAUUUUUGGUAAUGUGUAUUUGACUCAUCAGCAAUUGAUCUAAAGGAAAUAAAGCUUGAGUAAAGAUUCUCUGGUUCUCCAGGUUUGGGAUUGAGAGUUAUGCCAAGAUCCUGUCCAUGUAAAGAAUGAUUAUAUACUGAUUAAUCUCCCAGAUGAGGAACAUCACUACCAGAUCUGCAUCUUUGACAUUCAAAAGACAAGUUAUUCAGCAUAUUUUGAAAAGAGAGUAGGACCUGAAUGUAAAAUAAUACCAACUUUAAGACCAAGCGUGCUAGUUAAUUUAGAAAUCAACUGAAGCAGAAGAAUGAAUUGUGUUGAUCUGAGGAACUUCGAAACACUUAUUGACCAAAAACAAUAUGUAGUAAAGUAAUACAAUUAUGUUAUAAGAGAGAGAGAUAGAAAGAGGGGGAGAGCCAGUUGUAAAGAUUUAUUCUUUAAAACCAGAUACGUUGAUUACAAUCGAAUUUCAUAGGCCUACAGUUCCCCCCUAAAUGGUCUUAGUUAAUACAUGACGUACAUGUAUACUAGAUGUUUAAUGUAAGACUUUGAUGUGACUUGUAAGAACAAUCAGCUGCCAUUGGUUUAACUCUAUUUUUAUGCCCUUCAGUUGGGGGGGGG